AUUGUAUACACACACUGCAUUAUAUACACAGUGUGUUUGUGUAGUGUAUAUAAUGCAGUGUGUGUAUUUGUG